rnacentral:lncRNA from 1 species
UUGCUAAUGAUGGAUUAAUUAGGCUUAAUAAAUUCGUCUCGCGAAUUAGGCUCAUGGUUCUGCAAUUAAUUUUAUAAUUAGCUCAUGUUUACUCUCCUAAUUAACAUCCGAAUAUUCGAUCCUGCUAUCAAACAGCCCUAUGUUGUUUAUUUUGCUGUGUGUAUAUGAUAUAACAACAGCUGUCGAAUCGGGUAGGCGGCGGUGGAUGUAGGAGGCGGUAGAAUCAGGUGGGCAGCGCUGAAAUCGAUCUUGAGCAGUGGUGAUUGGCAGCAAGUGGCUCUUCUCCCCAUCUACCUCCCUUCCUUUCCUUCUCCACCGGUAUGUUCAUGUGCGCAUCCGCCGGAAACAACCCCAACCACCGAGUAUGGAGAAGGGGCUGGAGGGUGAUCAGUAAGGUCCUCCGUACUCUAAGAAUCCAGGUGAGGGUCUUGCUGUUAGGUUUUUCUUUUUAUAAAAAAGGACUAAUCAUAAAUGUUUAAAAGAAAUCUUCCCUACAGUUAAUAAAUUGUUCCUAGAAUCCUAGUGCAGACUACUCCUACUACUCAAUUUCGUUCCACGGGUCCAAAAACUGUACGAACCUAUGAACGGAAUUUGAAAGAGGGGCAACAAACUAGGAUGAAUUUCUAACCGUGAAACUUGAAAACCGAACCAAAAUUUCGUGCUUUGCCCGCUCCACCGCUGUUUGGUACAGAUCCGCCGCCCGGAUAAGAACCGGACCUGCCGUCCCUGCCCUUCGCAACGUAGGCGUGGCAGGACUGCAGGAGCGCCGCACCUACGCCAUGGCCCAUGGAUCGAUCGAGUACCUCCUCUCCACAAGUCCUACCGCCUAGCUCCCUAGCCAUAGCCGGGUAGCGGGGGCAGCUAGCCCUAGCCCCUGCCCAGCCGCGGAGAAAAGAAGGACCUGCCCUGCCGCGCCAUUAACCGCAGCAGCAGCAGCAGCCGGCAUCGAUCGAUCGAGCGAAAGGC